GGGUCUAUAUAUAAGGGUGCUUUACGUCCCACCCAAGGCAAGAGGAACGUCAGCGAGGAAGACAAAGAGGCCCGGGGUGGGGCGCAUGCCCUCCACUGGUCUGAAAGCUGAGUCACAGGAAUCGUACCCCUGCAGCCGGCCAGCCUCUCCAGCGAGAGACACCGCGCCCUUGUGUGGAGAUGUCCACAGUAGACAAAGGCAGUUUCGCAAUAAAAGAAUGCCUGUCACCCUAGGUGCCACCCCGACCCUUAGUUAUUAUGCACUGGUCCCCAAGAGCAAUUUUUGCGCUGCUGUUGCAAAAAUUCAUCGUAAUGAAAUAAACGUAAAAGGGGAAAAUGUGUUAUGAAGGAAGUAUUGGAGCGUGCUUUGCUCAUGUAUUUUUUUCGCCAUGUUGUGGUUAGGGUGCACUAGUGGACCCCGGGUUGGGGGUGGGGCUCCCCAAAAGCCUGGCAGGCCUCCGGAUGCCGUUCCGAGACGCGGCGCGAAGGAGUUAAGCGGGCCGGCGGGUGACAUCACCUCAUUUACAUAGGAGCGCCCAUAAAGCGGCGCCCGCCGCACCCCGCCCGACAACUCGGUGGUGGCCACUGCGCAGACCAGACUUCGCUCGUUUUCGUGCGCCUCGCUCCGCUUUUCCUCCGCGACCAUGUCUGACAAACCCGAUAUGGCUGAGAUCGAGAAAUUCGAUAAGUCGAAACUGAAGAAGACAGAGACGCAAGAGAAAAAUCCACUGCCUUCCAAAGAAACGAUUGAACAGGAGAAGCAAGCAGGCGAAUCGUAAUGAGGCGUGCGCCGCCAAUAUGCACUGUACAUUCCACAAGCAUUGCCUUCUUAUUUUACUUCUUUUAGCUGUUUAACUUUGUAAGAUGCAAAGAGGUUGGAUCAAGUUUAAAUGACUGUGCUGCCCCUUUCACAUCAAAGAACUACUGACAACGAAGGCCGCGCCUGCCUCUCCCAUCUGUCUAUCUGGCUGGCAGGGAAGGAAAGAACUUGCAUGUUGGUGAAGGAAGAAGUGGGGUGGAAGAAGUGGGGGUGGGACGACAGUGAAAUCUAGAGUAAAACCAAGCUGGCCCAAGGUGUCCUGCAGGCUGUAAUGCAGUUUAAUCAGAGUGCCAUUUUUUUUUUUUGUUCAAAUGAUUUUAAUUAUCGGAAUGCACAAUUUUUUUAAUAUGCAAAUAAAAAGUUUAAAAACUUA